rnacentral:rRNA from 1 species
UACAGAGGGGGCAAGCGUUGUUCGGAAUUACUGGGCGUAAAGGGCGCGUAGGUGGCCUUCUAAGUUGAACGUGAAAUCCCUGGGCUCAACCCAGGAACUGCGUCCAAGACUGGGAGGCUUGAAUCCGGGAGAGGGAUGCGGAAUUCCAGGUGUAGCGGUGAAAUGCGUAGAUAUCGAGAGGAACACCGGUGGCGAAGGCGGCCUUCUGGACAGUGACUGACGCUGAGACGCGAAAGCGUGGGGAGCAAACAGG